rnacentral:lncRNA from 1 species
UGGGCAUGCGUGCGUUAGGUGUACCUGUACACUUGCUGCUCCCCUGAUGAUUUGCUCAACAGUGUCUGCAAUUGGCAGCCAGAAGGAGUCCGCAAGAAGCAGGAGGGUUCGGACCUGAGACCGCGCCACAGGAGGAAGGCCAGGAUCUGGGAGCGCAAGACUAUCCUAAACAUCCUGCCAUUAAUUAGCUGAACAGCCCAUCUAGUAAACAAGACCGAUGGUUGAGGGGCUGGAAAAGAGGAGGAGUCAGCAAGUUGAAAGUCACAACAGACCAGCCCACUCCCUCAGAUAAAAGAAAGGCACAUCACAGUUGUCACAUCAGCAGGCUAGAAAAGCCAUCCCAUUCCUGCGGUAGGCAUUCUGUCAAAGAAAAAGAAAUCUGCAAUGAAUUAUCACAUGAAGUCAAACAAGGAAAGGAGGCAAAAAGCAAGCAGAGCCCUCUUCCUGUUUUGUAGACUCUGCUGGCUACAAUCUAAUAGAAUGCUUAAUCUGAAUAUUUCUGGUGGCAAAACUAUAGCAACCAUUCUGUCUAUUAAAAAGUCAGUGUGGUUAACAAGUGGUUAGUGAUUCUAUUUUUGGGAAGUAGCAGAUACAUAAAAUAAGACAUCCCAUUUUGUUAACUGAUUGGGCUUGGUUAGGCCAAAGAGAUGUAUUGAAUCUGUUUGUCUUUUAUAAACAUGUGUUCUCUAUU